GACGAUCUUGUAGGGAGAUUGCAAGUGCCUGGAUAAAAUUAAUGGACCUAGAAUAAUGGUUAUUGAUACAGAAUGAACAGAUAGUUAAAGAGGAUUCCAAACUAUCAAAUAGAAUCACAUAUUUAGUACUGUUUAUGAAAUCCAAGUUUUCUUCAGAAUCUCCCUCUGCUUCUCUAAAAGAUCAAACAAUGAAAGAAAAGUAUUAUAACUUAAUAAUCUACUGAACACUAUAAUUUAAGGAAAAAAGAAAAAAACUUACAGAUAUUCUUCAAUCACCUUAAAGCAGCACCUAAAAAAACAGUAAAUAAGUAGGGAAAAACUGGAAUCA